rnacentral:rRNA from 1 species
UACGUAGGUGACAAGCGUUGUCCGGAUUUACUGGGCGUAAAGAGCGCGCAGGCGGUCGUUCAAGUCGAGUGUGAAAGCCCCCGGCUCAACUGGGGAGGGUCAUUCGAUACUGAUCGACUCGAAGGCAGGAGAGGGUAGUGGAAUUCCCGGUGUAGUGGUGAAAUGCGCAGAUAUCGGGAGGAACACCUAUGGCGAAGGCAGCUCGCUGGGACGUUACUGACGCUGAGACGCGAAAGCGUGGGGAGCAAACAGG